rnacentral:rRNA from 1 species
UACAGGAGGUCUCAAGCGUUGUUCGGAUUCAUUGGGCGUAAAGGGUGCGUAGGUGGCGUCGUAAGUCGGGUGUGAAAUUUCGGAGCUUAACUCCGAAACUGCAUUCGAUACUGCGGUGCUUGAGGACUGGAGAGGAGACUGGAAUUUACGGUGUAGCAGUGAAAUGCGUAGAGAUCGUAAGGAAGACCAGUGGCGAAGGCGGGUCUCUGGACAGUUCCUGACACUGAGGCACGAAAGGCCAGGGGAGGCAAACGGGG